AGCUGGUCUGAAGGCAGUUAUCUCAAUUGCUUGUUUAUGGUUAUAGAUCUGAACCCUUGUUCUACUCUUUCUCCCUCCUCACUGCUUCACUUGAGUAGUCUUAU
ensembl:Y_RNA Y_RNA Y RNA